rnacentral:rRNA from 1 species
GAUGAACGCUGGCGGCGUGCCUAAUACAUGCAAGUCGAGCGAACAGACGAGGAGCUUGCUCCUCUGACGUUAGCGGCGGACGGGUGAGUAACACGUGGAUAACCUACCUAUAAGACUGGGAUAACUUCGGGAAACCGGAGCUAAUACCGGAUAAUAUAUUGAACCGCAUGGUUCAAUAGUGAAAGACGGUUUUGCUGUCACUUAUAGAUGGAUCCGCGCCGCAUUAGCUAGUUGGUAAGGUAACGGCUUACCAAGGCAACGAUGCGUAGCCGACCUGAGAGGAUGAUCGGCCACACUGGAACUGAGACACGGUCCAGACUCCUACGGGAGGCAGCAGUAGGGAAUCUUCCGCAAUGGGCGAAAGCUUGACGGAGCAACGCCGCGUGAGUGAUGAAGGUCUUCGGAUCGUAAAACUCUGUUAUUAGGGAAGAACAGAUGUGUAAGUAACUAUGCACGUCUUGACGGUACCUAAUCAGAAAGCCACGGCUAACUACGUG